rnacentral:rRNA from 1 species
UACGUAGGCAGCGAGCGUUGUUCGGAGUUACUGGGCGUAAAGGGUGUGUAGGCGGUUGUUUAAGUUUGGUGUGAAAUCUCCCGGCUCAACUGGGAGGGUGCGCCGAAUACUGAGCGACUAGAGUGCGGGAGAGGAAAGUGGAAUUCCUGGUGUAGCGGUGAAAUGCGUAGAUAUCUGGAGGAACACCGGUGGCGAAGGCGGCAUCCUGGACCGGUAUUGACGCUGAGGCGCGAAAGCCAGGGGAGCGAACGGG